rnacentral:rRNA from 1 species
AGAGGAAGUAAAAGUCGUAACAAGGUUUCCGUAGGUGAACCUGCGGAAGGAUCAUUAUCGAGUUUUGAAACGGGGUUGUCGCUGGCCUUCUUUAUUAUUGAUGGAGGCAUGUGCACGCUCCGCUCAAUCCAUCUUCUUACACCUGUGAACCUUUUGGUAAGUCGGUUUCGGGUCGGCCUCGAGAGGGGUUGUGGCUCGUGCCUUCCGGCCUCAUAUAUGAACCAGUGAAAGUCAUAGAAUGUGCUCGCGUUUGUAACGCACCUUAAUACAACUUUCAGCAACGGAUCUCUUGGCUCUCGCAUCGAUGAAGAACGCAGCGAAAUGCGAUAAGUAAUGUGAAUUGCAGAUUUCAGUGAAUCAUCGAAUCUUUGAACGCACCUUGCGCUCCUUGGUAUUCCGAGGAGCAUGCCUGUUUGAGUGUCGUGGAAUCAUCAACUUCAUCUCCUUUGUUGGGGCUUGAAGCUUGGACUUUGGAGGCUUCUGCCGGCUCUAGUCAGUCGGCUCCUCUCGAACGCAUUAGCGCGAACCUUUUGCGGAUCGGCCGUCGGUGUGAUAAUCGUCUACGCCGCGGUCGUGACGCUCUGUGGGUCGGCUUCCAAUCGUCCCUUUGUGGGACAGCUUUCUGACCAUCUGACCUCAAAUCAGGUAGGACUACCCGCUGAACUUAAGCAUAUCAAUAAGCGGAGGAAAAGAAACUAACAAGGAUUCCCCUAGUAACUGCGAGUGAAGCGGGAAGAGCUCAAAUUUAAAAUCUGACGGUUUCACCGCCGUCCGAGUUGUAAUCUGGAGAAGUGCUUUCCGCGCUGGACCGUGUACAAGUUCUCCUGA